UCUGUAGGGUAUCUUCAAGAUCUGUACCUUACGUUUUAUUUUUUCCUUUUCUUCCUCCAUUUGUAAAGCUGAAACCGAACCCUCUCAUCUUUCUCUUUCAACUUUUUCCACACAACCCACUCAAAAAUUCUCCAUCAAACCUCUAAUCUAGAAGGUACAAACAAAACGCACAGCUUAAUAAUCACCAAACAAGGAGUACUUUUGCUCAAGUUUUGGAAGGUUGGUUGUGUUGGUAGCUGAAUUUGUGAGGAUUACUCUAAGCCAAGGAAAGGAAUCCCCUCACAUGAGCGAAAUGCUAGCAGGAAGAGGGCAGCUAGGUGAGCAACAUGCAACCAAAAACGAAGUACGGCGAGUAGCACGUUGUAGAGAGCUUAGUUGGUACAAGCAACACAAAGAGAACAAGGUGACUAGGAAGUUUGCUUCACACCGAGUGAGCAAAGGAUAUGUUGACUGUACGUAAGGUGGUGAGUAGUGGGCAAUGGAAAUCCUAGUACAAAGUUGGGAACGCUCCAAGAUAACAUGGAGGAGCCUAGAGGGUAAUAGGUGACGUACCAAGGCCUGUUCUCCAACCAUGACGUCUCAAUAGGAGCACGAUUGCGAAAGGAGGAAUAUGGACCUGAAUUGUAACAACCUGCUAAAAAUUCAACAGAGGAAUUUUGUAAGGUUUUAAGACCUUCGUGAAAGUCUCGAAAGUUUUCACGAUUCAAAUGUUAGCAUAGUCAGUGUUACCAUUCACUAUGAUGCCAGAAAUACGAUUUUAUUUAUUUGAGGUACUUAGAAGUAUAAGAAUGAGAAACAUUCUACGCCAUUAGACUCAGAUGAAUA